UACGGAGGGUGCAAGCGUUAUCCGGAUUUAUUGGGUUUAAAGGGUCCGUAGGCGGUUCUGUAAGUCAGUGGUGAAAUCUCACAGCUUAACUGUGAAACUGCCAUUGAUACUGCAGGUCUUGAGUAAAGUAGAAGUGGCUGGAAUAAGUAGUGUAGCGGUGAAAUGCAUAGAUAUUACUUAGAACACCAAUUGCGAAGGCAGGUCACUAUGUUUUAACUGACGCUGAUGGACGAAAGCGUGGGGAGCGAACAGG
rnacentral:rRNA from 1 species